rnacentral:rRNA from 1 species
UCAACCUACGGGACGCAGCAGUGGGGAUAUUGGACAAUGGGGGGAACCCUGAUCCAGCGACGCCGCGUGAGUGAAGAAGUAUUUCGGUAUGUAAAGCUCUGUCAGCAGGGAAGAAAGAAAUGACGGUACCUGACCAAGAAGCCCCGGCUAACUACGUGCCAGCAGCCGCGGUAAUACGUAGGGGGCAAGCGUUAUCCGGAUUUAUUGGGUUUAAAGGGUGCGCAGGCGGUCUGUUAAGUCAGCGGUCAAAGCCCGGGGCUCAACCCCGGCCCGCCGUUGAAACUGGCAGUCUCGAGUUGGAGAGA